rnacentral:pre_miRNA from 14 species
UUCUGGGGUUGGAGUAUCAGGCAUUCUCAGCUCAUACUGAAAGAUCCCACGCAGAGAGACCCUUACUCAAGUCUUGGGAAAUCGCGGACCCCAGACACAGAGAGACCA